AUCCUGAUAUUGUCAAGGUCAUCAUAACCCACUGUACUUGGCGUCGCGUGUUGACCGAAGCUCCUACUGUGGCAUCACUACUGUACCUCGAGUCGUGUGUUGGCUCCUAUCGUGCCAUCACUGUAGCUCGCGUCGUGUCUUGACCCAAGCUCAGGUCGCUAGCUAUACCCAGGUGCACUUGUUACUACUGGUGUGCUAACGGCUGCCUUAAUCAGUUUUGGACAGGAGAUGCAGAAGACAUAAUUACCUAGUCUUGUGUACAAAAAGAGGAAUUGUGGUGUGUGUAGCCGAUUGUGUGAUCUGCCUCCCACUGUACAUUGAAAGUGAACUACUACCUGUCUCUCA